rnacentral:ncRNA from 1 species
GUUAGGGGUGCGCCCGGCUGCCGUAAGGCCGGGAGCUGAGAUCAUACCCUUUGAACCUGAACCGGUUAGUACCGGCGUAGAGAAAAUU